UACGGAGGGUGCAAGCGUUAUCCGGAUUUAUUGGGUUUAAAGGGUCCGUAGGCGGAUCUGUAAGUCAGUGGUGAAAUCUCACAGCUUAACUGUGAAACUGCCAUUGAUACUGCAGGUCUUGAGUGUUAUUGAAGUAGCUGGAAUAAGUAGUGUAGCGGUGAAAUGCAUAGAUAUUACUUAGAAUACCAAUUGCGAAGGCAGGUUACUAAGCAACAACUGACGCUGAUGGACGAAAGCGUGGGGAGCGAACAGG
rnacentral:rRNA from 1 species